AGGUGUGAGUUUUCCUCUUCAUUUCCAGUUAAAGUUCAUCACUUUCAUACAGUCCAGACUGCUCAGCCAAACGCUGAAACUCUCCUUCUGUAAAUCCGGGGUGUUGGGAUAGCAGAGAUCUGGCAUUCGAGUCUGGCUGUAUCUCCUUCAAAAACCUUUUUGCUUUGUGGCUUGAAGAUGAAAGUUGGAGGAACCUGCAGCCUGAUGUUUUCUGCAUUCUGGUGCUUGGAAAGAGAAAGAAGAGAGAUAACUGAGAGAGAAGGUUUCAUCUAUAAACUGAACAAAAAGCCAUUUCGAGUUCAU